ACGAGUGCCUCAAGCGUUAUCCGGAAUCAUUGGGCGUAAAGGGUGUGUAGGUGGUUGUGUUAGUCUUCUGUCAAAUCUUCGGGCUCAACUCGAAACCUGCAGAGGAAACGGCACAGCUUGAGGAUGCGAGGGGCUAGUGGAACUCAUGGAGUAGGGGUGAAAUCCGUUGAUAUCAUGGGGAACACCAAAAGCGAAGGCAACUAGCUGGCGCAUUCCUGACACUGAAACACGACAGCGUGGGUAGCGAACGGGA
rnacentral:rRNA from 1 species